GGGGUUGACUGGAUUUGACAGCGGGCAGAAAUGGUAGGUAAGCAUGCAGUGCGUCGGUAAUUUGCACUUAAAUAUCAGUUAUCAAAAUUUUAUCUGGCGAAAAUAAUUACGCUCUUGCUGCUUAAUCGAAUUAUAGUAGAUUAGCUUAAUCUGGGUACUAGGUAUCCGGACGAGACAUCACUCAGAAGCUGUGGCUUCGAAGUAUUCUGGUUCAGUGGUGCAGUCAUAUCGGAGAUAGCUUUAAGUGGCUUCGCAUUUAAAGUGAAAAUAAAGAAGAUAAGGUUUGUGUUGAUGGCUUUGGUUCUGCACAGACACGAAAAUUUAGGCAAAGAUAAGCAUGUAGAAAGCUUAUGAUUUCCUCGUUUGGACGAGGGUUCGAUUCCCUCCAGCUCCACUU
rfam:Bacteroides graminisolvens DSM 19988 = JCM 15093 DNA, contig: JCM15093.contig00014.